rnacentral:rRNA from 1 species
UACGGGGGGGGCAAGCGUUGUUCGGAAUUACUGGGCGUAAAGGGCUCGUAGGUGGCCAACUAAGUCAGACGUGAAAUCCCUCGGCUUAACCGGGGAACUGCGUCUGAUACUGGAUGGCUUGAAUUCGGGAGAGGGAUGCAGAAUUCCAGGUGUAGCGGUGAAAUGCGUAGAUAUCUGGAGGAAUACCGGUGGCGAAGGCGGCAUCCUGGACCGACAUUGACGCUGAGGAGCGAAAGCUAGGGGAGCAAACGGG